rnacentral:hammerhead_ribozyme from 1 species
AUCCAGCUGACGAGUACCAAAUAGGAGGAGACGCGUGUCAAAGUGGAU